rnacentral:rRNA from 1 species
GACGAACGCUGGCGGCGUGCUUAACACAUGCAAGUCGAGCGGUAAGGCCCUUUCGGGGGUACACGAGCGGCGAACGGGUGAGUAACACGUGGGUGACCUGCCUUUAGCUCUGGGAUAAGCCUGGGAAACCGGGUCUAAUACCGGAUAUGACUCCGCGGCGCAUGUUGUGGGGUGGAAAGCCUUGUGCGGCUGGAGAUGGGCCCGCGGCCUAUCAGCUUGUUGGUGGGGUGAUGGCCUACCAAGGGCGACGACGGGUAGCCGGCCUGAGAGGGCGACCGGCCACACUGGGACUGAGACACGGCCCAGACUCCUACGGGAGGCAGCAGUGGGGAAUCUUGCGCAAUGGGCGAAAGCCUGACGCAGCGACGCCGCGUGAGGGAUGACGGCCUC